rnacentral:rRNA from 1 species
AUGGUAGAAUGCUUCAAUAAGGUGCUCAAGGGUGUACGUGCAUUACCCGUGACGGCAAUAGUUCAAUACACAUUUGACAAGAUGAAUGCGUACUUUUUAAAGUACUCAAUGGAGACGGAUAAGCAGAUUGAUGGUGAGAACAAGGAAAAGCACAAGUAUAAUUUCCCACCAAAGGUUGAAGAAUGGUUGGAAUUUCAAUCACGAAAGGCAGACUCCCAAGAAGUUUUUCUAUAUGACGACAACGAGUGGAAGUAUGAAGUGAAAGAGCCUGGAGGAACCUCAAACGAUGGCCACCAACAUGGAGGUCGCGCGUUCAAGGUCUCCCUAACACGGUGUGAUUGCAGCUGCAUGAGGCCAUCGUUGCUUCAUCUGCCAUGCUCGCACUUGUUAAACGCAGCCCGUGUUAGGAAUGUUGACGUCAAUCACCCUCUUACCGUGCGGGAGUCCGAGUUCUCAAUCAUGACGGUAAAGAAUACAUGGGCUCCCCGGUUUGAGCCAUACUUGGACCAAUCACAAUGGCCGGAGUAUCAUGGAGUUCAACUAUGGUCGGAC